rnacentral:tRNA from 1 species
UGGUUCAGUGGUAGAGUGCUUGCCUUGCAUGCAUGAGGCCCUGGGUUCGAUUCCCCAG